AGAGUUUGAUCCUGGCUCAGAAUGAACGCUGGCGGCGUGCUUUACACAUGCAAGUCGAGCGAGGCGUCCCGCAAGGGAUAGUCGAGCGGCGAACGGGUGAGUAACGCGUGGAUAACCUGCCCUGAGGUGGGGGAUAACCAGGGGAAACUCUGGCUAAUACCGCAUGAUACCGAGAGGUCAAAGGGGGCUCGCAAGGGCUCUCGCCAUAGGAGGGGUCCGCGUACGAUUAGCUAGUUGGUAGGGUAAUGGCCUACCAAGGCGACGAUCGUUAGCCGGCCUGAGAGGGUGAUCGGCCACACUGGAACUGAGACACGGUCCAGACUCCUACGGGAGGCAGCAGUGGGGAAUUUUGCGCAAUGGGCUAACGCCUGACGCAGCAACGCCGCGUGGAGGAUGAAGGUCCUUGGAUUGUAAACUCCUGUCAGCAGGGAAAA
rnacentral:rRNA from 1 species